AACGAACGCUGGCGGCAGGCUUAACACAUGCAAGUCGAGCGCCCCGCAAGGGGGGCGGCAGACGGGUGAGUAACGCGUGGGAACGUACCCUUUACUACGGAAUAGCUCCGGGAAACUGGAAUUAAUACCGUAUGUGCCCUUCGGGGGAAAGAUUUAUCGGUAAAGGAUCGGCCCGCGUUGGAUUAGCUAGUUGGUGGGGUAAAGGCCUACCAAGGCGACGAUCCAUAGCUGGUCUGAGAGGAUGAUCAGCCACAUUGGGACUGAGACACGGCCCAAACUCCUACGGGAGGCAGCAGUGGGGAAUAUUGGACAAUGGGCGCAAGCCUGAUCCAGCCAUGCCGCGUGAGUGAUGAAGGCCUUAGGGUUGUAAAGCUCUUUCACCGGAGAAGAUAAUGACGGUAUCCGGAGAAGAAGCCCCGGCUAACUUCGUGCCAGCCGCCGCUGUAAAAC
rnacentral:rRNA from 1 species